rnacentral:lncRNA from 1 species
CUCCAACCAUCUUGUUUGUCUCUUUUCCUUCUCAGAUACCCGCCCUGAACAAACAACAUGCUCGGAUAAGGCAGCAGGCAUGUUUGCAGCCUUCUCAAAGACAACUGGAUCAUUAAUGCGACGAUCCUGAUUCCUUUCCUUUCAACUGUAGUUUCUUCUCUCUGAUGAAGUCAUGAGCUCACUUCUUGACUUUCGGUCCCAUUCC